CACGGAAGGAUAAAAGGAAAGCAAUGCUCUCUAAGACUGAGGUUGACUGAGCUCCAUCCUCACAGCCAGCUCCCCCGCCCAAGGCUGGGUUUAGCAGUCACGGGGGCAGAAAGGGCUUAUCAAGCCUUUUGAGAGGCCAGCAGGGUCCAGAUAAAUUCAUCAGAGAGGCUUCUCCAUGCUCAUCCCUCUGGUUUGUCCACAGGAAUUGUUGAGGAUGCCAUGUUAAUCUUCGAGGAGUAUCCAAUCUGCAGCAGCACCAACCUCAGCCACAAGCUGCGGUCGGUGAACGGUGUGGGCCUGUUUGUCAGAGAUGAGAACAAAUUCGUCUUCACCAAGGUUCUGGUUGGGCAAGAGGCUGAAGCUCAUUUCAAUAUCUACAAUGCAAGUGGUCUGCCAUGUGACGUGGUCCUCUCCCUCAAAUCCCCGCCUGGAAAGGAAAAAAUCCCUAUCAACAACAUUUUCAAAUUGUGUCCAGUCAAGAUGUCUGUUCCUGGCUCAUCCAAGGCUAUUGCUAUAGUGACCUUCACCCCACCAGACCAGCAGACCUACGACUGCAUUUUCAAGGCUUCCCUUGUCAUCCCAAAAAGCCCUGUGAAAAUUAGACCCCAAACCCUGACCUUCACCAUCAGUGGGAAGGGGUAUGAGCCACAGGUGACAGUCCUGUGCCCAAGUGCCCGCAGCAAGAGGGGAAAUGCUGUGCUGCGCUUCAAGAGGCUCCCCGUGGGGGAUUCAGAGAUGCUCCCCCUGGUCAUGUGUAACAAAGGCGUCAUACCUGUCAAGGUGAGAACCUGCUCUACAAAUGGCCUG
rnacentral:lncRNA from 12 species